CGAGGUAUCAGAAUUAAUUUAUCUAAACACAAAGUUCGUACUCAGUGGAAUAAGAAUCGAACGCAGCGGUGCGUUAAAUGCAAUUACGUUUUGAAACACCGGUGGCAAAAAUCGUGAUUAUCCCCGAAGUGGAGAGAUUAUCAAUGCGCGAAUUGCAACAUGUGACUUUAUGCACGUCUUUGCGCAAACGUUGCUCUCCUCUCUUCCUCCUCCCGUGAUCUCUUACGGCGGAAAUCACUUAGCGCGAGAUCCGCUUACUCAGUAACCAACUUCGAACGCUGUCACUCAAAAGUAAAUGCCUCUGCGGUCGUUAAACGAGAUAUGUCUAAUAUACGUUCGCGCGAGAUAAAUAUUUUUGCUACCGGUUAUCGCCGCUCACAAGGGAACAGUGUCGUAACGCGGAAGCGUAAUAGUCUUCCGCGUGCGCACCGGCACGCAACAUAGUGUUAACGAUUUGAUGACAGACCGACGUUAAGCUGACAGCAAGUCCAGUAAAAAAUUGGACGAAACCGCAAGAAUCAAAUAUCACAUUAAACGUUCGGUUAACUCAAUUGCGGCGAGAGAGAAUUAGCUUGAAACGAGGACGGUGGACUAUUAAACCGGAACGGAAUCGAGAACACUGGUCUCUUCGUCCAACUCCAUUGGAAAGUGCAGUUUUGUUAGUCAUAUGCGCGUCGCAGGUCUGUUUGUCCACGUCAAAGGCCAGUCCGCUGGGACACGUGAUUUGCUUCAGGCCGGACCUUGUACACCUG